rnacentral:tRNA from 1 species
GCGGUUGUGGAUCAGCGGUAGAGCGCUCACCUAGCAUGUGCGAGGCCCUGGGUUCGAUCUGCAGCACCACA